GUGCCAGCCGCCGCGGUAAUACCGGUGUGCUCGAGUGGUGGCCGCUAUUAUUAGGUCUAAAGGGUUCGUAGCCGGCCUGAUAAAGUUACCUGGGAAAUCCGGUGGCCUAAACCAUCGGGCGGCCAGGUAAUACUAUCAGGCUCGGGAUUAGGAGAGACCAGAGGUACUCAUGAGGUAGGAGUGAAAUCCUGUAAUCUUAUGAGGACCACCAGUGGUGAAGACGUCUGGUUAGAAUAGUGUCCGACGUGUGAGUGGACGAAGUGCUGGUGUGGCGCAAACCGGAUUAGAUACCCGGGUAGUCCCAGCAGUAAACGAUGCCAGCUAUGUGUUGCUGGAACCAUGGGUUCCAGCAGUGCCGAAUGGAAGCCGUGAAGCUGGCCACCUGGGAAGUACGGUCGCAAGGCUGAAACUUAAAGGAAUUGGCGGGGUGAGUACCACAACCGUGUGGAGCCUGCGGUU
rnacentral:rRNA from 1 species